CCACAAGAUUGCAAGAUAAAUGGAUGGAGCUGGAAACAAUCACUCUGAAUGAGGUAACCCAGACCCAGAAAGACAAACAUUGGAUAUUUUCUCUCAUUUGUGGAUGUUAGCUUAGAAUAUUCAGAUAUUUGUGUUUCAUUUGGAAUUCCCACAGAGGUCAGUAAAUGGAGGAAAUGGGGUGCUUUUUGGGGGAGGGGCAGUAGGAUACAGUUGCCCAAAGGGUUAAAGGAGAAUAAAGGAACAGGGAAAGUUUAAAUGGUGUGGGGAGAUAUGAGGCCAUAGUAAAGGAAGGAAUGUUGAGGUGCGUAACUAAGACCUUCAAAAGAGUCAUAUAGAAACUUACUAAUGUAGAAGAUUCCUAAAAUAUAUACAUGUUCAUAUACAAGAAUAGUUAAAAUACAGUUAUCUUUAACAAAUCAGAACAUCCAGGUAAAGCAACCAUUGUUACUGAUAAAUUUCCAACUGACUAGCUUUAACUGUGCGGAAAGGUGCAAGGCACUCUACCAGAGGAGAAAAAUCACCACCCAUCUUACUCAGCUGUAAAUCCUGCAAGCUACCAUAGCAACGGACCUGGCAAGAUAUGGCUACUGGUACAGCAAUAGCGUGAGCAUCAUGGGAGUAAUCAACCACUUUCUGAUUUAAGUCCUGCUCCCUAAGAUGAAACCCAUACCUGGCACUAGUAUCAGGGACAAAAACUACAGCAAGACAGUCAUUGGCCCUAGGGGAGAACCUGCUAGUUUUAUUUUGUUAAAUGAAGGGCAUUAGAUUGAGUCCUAAUGAUGUAUCAUUAUACCCAUAGAUUAAUACUUCUCUCUACCCUCACAGAGGAAUUUUUUUUUUGCAGUAGUUGGCAAUUCACAGAGACACUCAUAACUGGCCAAGGUGCAGAGAAAAAAACACUACAGAAUUCUCAGCCCUAAAGUAGACAUCUGCAUCACACCCUCGCCUUCUGGGCCUCGGGGAUUAUUGACAAAGAGGAAGAGGAAAAGACUUUCUCAUCAGUUACUCAGGGCCCCAAACCCAACAGAUGCCUCACAGCUUCCCUGGAAAUUUAGGAAAUUCACUCAAUGUGUGUUCAGAGACAUCACCAGGCUGAUAUUCUGCUAUACCCUGAGAAUUAAUGAAGAUGGACUGACCAUGGAGUCCCUAAAAUUACAGCAAUUAGAGAAUCAUCAAGUGUAUUGCAAAUGCUUCUGGGAGGAACAGUCUUGUCUGAAACAAUAAAAUGAUUUGGAUAGCU